rnacentral:misc_RNA from 1 species
GAGGACUGCCUUGUAAGGAGUCCACUCAUCUCAUUAACCACCGAUGUGGGCCUUCUGUCAUUCUUUAACACCCCAUCUCACGCCAGUGCUUAGUAUCUGGUGCGUGGGCAAUUUCUAUUUUGGGGGUUCCAACAUCGGGUGAGACGGACUCUGCUGUGAUACCAUGUUGAAUUAGAUCUGACACAAAUCUAGCAACACUUUUGAACUCAAGAACCCACAUUCUAUAUUCAAACACAUACAUAUAUGGUUCGAC